GACGAACGCUGGCGGCGUGCUUAACACAUGCAAGUCGAACGGUAAGGCCCUUCGGGGUACACGAGUGGCGAACGGGUGAGUAACACGUGGGUGAUCUGCCCUGCACUUCGGGAUAAGCCUGGGCAACUGAGUCUAAUACCGGAUAGGACCACUGCCUGCAGGGGUGGUGGCGGACAGCUUUUGCGGUGUGGGAUGGGUCCGCGGCCUAUCAGCUUGUUGGUGAGGUGAUGGCCUACCAAGGCGACGACGGGUAGCCGGCCUGAGAGGGUGACCGGCCACACUGGGACUGAGAUACGGCCCAGACUCCUACGGGAGGCAGCAGUGGGGAAUAUUGCACAAUGGGCGCAAGCCUGAUGCAGCGACGCCGCGUGAGGGAUGACGGCCUUCGGGUUGUAAACCUCUUUCAGCAUCGACGAAGCGAAAGUGACGGUAGGUGCAGAAGAAGGACCGGCCAACUACGUGCCAGCAGCCGCGGUAA
rnacentral:rRNA from 1 species